AACAAAUAACUAUAAGAGAAUAAUUAACAAAUAGUUUAUAAAGUGCAAUAUUUGGGGAGUAGUAAUAUCAAGCUAUAUUAGUGCAAAAUAAACUUGUUUCACCCCUAACAACAAAUAAAAUUUGAUUAAAUUAAAAUCAACCUCAAAUGAAAUCAAAUUCCAACUCCAAUGACUCAAAUAAGUAUGGCAGCUCCAACAGCUUCAACAACUCUGACAACUCUAGUAGCUCCAAUAACUUCAGUAGCUCCAACAAUUUUGACAUCUUCAGCAACUCGAGCAAUUUAGGCAGCUUCAACAGCUCCAGCAACUCUAGUAGUUUCAACAGUGACAAAGCUCCAACAGCAAGCAAAUCAUCCAAAUUUUCAUUUAAUAAAAACAUCAAAUUUUUUCAUCUAAAGUUUGUCCAACUAAUUUUUAUCUGUCUAACUAAUUUUUAUCUAUAAUAAUGUUCAUCCAACUCUGAUACCAUGUUACAAAAAUAAGAUAAGUUAUGAAAAGUGAUGAAUACUGUUGAGAAUGUUUAGAAAGAUACAAGAGUAGUAGUAAGUAAUAUAAACACACAAGAAUAGUAAUAAGUAAUACACACAUAUACAAGAGAGUUUCUAAAGAGAGAGAGCUUCACACACAAAUCUAUUGAUUUGGUUGUGUCACAUAUACAAGAGAAGGGGAGAGGAUAAACUGUUCCUCUCUACUACAUUCCAAAUACUGUAGACUACAAUAAAUAUUAUGGAGAGCCCAAGCUACAUUUAAUGCUCUCAACAAAUACCAUUUGUUGCAAACAAAAUGUGACGGAAGCCAAGGAGGAAAGAUCUGAUGGAGACUGCAAUCCCCACCGCACUAAUAGAAUCAGCCGCCCGCGGGGAUUCGCCGAGCUUGAGAUCAAAACAUGAAACGAGCGGCCAGUGGACCGCGCGAGCAAAAAAAAAACAAUGCCAGAACCGUCGCAAUACAACAUAGACAGUUCAACCCCGAAGUUGAGCCGGGAAGGGUCACAAGUCGAAAACACAAACAAGAGAUGCAGCACAGCUCCAGCAUACUUCGCAACCUGCGGAGCUCUCCUGAUCAGAAAACAAAAACAGGAAAAACAAAAAAAUGGCGGAUCCCUCGACGUUCUCCGGAUCCCUGAUGACAGCCAGCAACCCCGGCAACUUCC
rnacentral:lncRNA from 1 species